rnacentral:pre_miRNA from 1 species
GUUAAGGGGAUUGUUGUCUGGUUCAAGGUCUCCACAUUAUGCAUCAUGUUCAUGCAUGGAGAGGCACAAGUUGCUUCACAUGGACUGCAUGGCUUGGUGAUCUCGGACCAGGCUUCAAUCCCUUUAAC